AUUGAACGCUGGCGGCAGGCCUAACACAUGCAAGUCGAGCGAGCGGCGGACGGGUGAGUAAUGUAUGGGGACUGCCCGAUAGAGGGGGAUAACUACUGGAAACGGUGGCUAAUACCGCAUAAUAAAGGAUAGCCCAUAUGGGAUUAGCUAUGAGGUGGGGUAAAGGCUAACCUAUGGGACGAUCUCUAGCUGGUCUGAGAGGAGGAUGAUCCACACGUGGACGGAGACGCGGCCCCGACUCCUGGGGAGGCAGCAGUGGGGAGUAUUGCACAAUGGGCGAAAGCCUGAUGAAGCCAUGCCGCGUGUAUGAAGAAGGCCUUAGGGUUGUAAAGUACUUUCAGCGGGGAGGCGUUACCCGCAGAAGGAGCACCGGCUAACUACGGGCCAGCAGCCGCGGUAAUAC
rnacentral:rRNA from 1 species